rnacentral:rRNA from 1 species
CAGUAGCCGCGGGAAUACGAAGGGGGCUAGCGUUGUUCGGAAUCACUGGGCGUAAAGGGUGCGUAGGCGGAUUCUUAAGUCAGGGGUGAAAUCCCGAGGCUCAACCUCGGAACUGCCUUUGAUACUGGGGAUCUUGAGUCCGGAAGAGGUGAGUGGAACUGCGAGUGUAGAGGUGAAAUUCGUAGAUAUUCGCAAGAACACCGGUGGCGAAGGCGGCUCACUGGUCCGGAACUGACGCUGAGGCACGACAGCGUGGGGAGCAAACAGGAUUAGAUACCCGUGUAGUCCCUGUCUCUUAUAC